GAUGAACGCUGGCGGCGUGCCUAAUACAUGCAAGUCGAACGGACGGACGCUAAGCUCGCUUUUCUGCUGUUGGCGACGGGCGGGUGAGUAACGCGUGGAUAGCCUACCUCUUUGACUUGGAUAACUUCGGGAGGCAGUAGCUGCUACCAGAUCAUAUUUUGAACCGGUUGGAUCAAAAGUGAAAUACGGUUUUGCUGUCAGUUAUAGAUGGAUCCGCGCUGGAUUAGCUAGUUGGUAAGGUAACGGCUUACCAAGGCGACGAUGCGUAGCCGACCUGAGAGGGUGAUCGGCCACACUGGAACUGAGACAAGGUCCAGACUCCUACGGGAGGCAGCAGUGGGGAAUAUUCGGCAAUGGGCGAAAGCCUGAUGCAGCCACGCCGCGUGAGUGAUGAAGGUCUUCGGAUCGUAAAGCCCUUUUGUUAGGAAAGAACAUAUGUGUAUGAAAAUGCCCCUGUUUUGACGGUACCUAAAGAGAAAGCACCGGCUAACUACGUG
rnacentral:rRNA from 1 species